AUAGGCUGCUCACCCUGUGCAGCUGUCAGUCCCAGUCAGCACCCAGCAUGGACUUGAGGACCCCUGCUCAGCUCCUGGGGCUCCUGCUGCUCUGGCUCCCAGGUGCCAGAUGUGACAUCCAGAUGACCCAGACUCCAUCCUCUCUGGCUGCAUCUGUAGGGGACACAGUCUCCAUCACUUGCAGGGCCAGUCAGAGCAUUGACCAUUAUUUACAUUGGUACCAGCAGAGAGCAGGAAAAGCUCCAAAGCUCCUGAUUGGUUAUGCAACUAGUUUGGCCUCUGGGGUCCCAUCGAGGUUCAGUGGCAGUAGAUCUGGGACAGAGUUCACUCUCACCAUCAGCAGCCUGCAGCCUGAAGAUGGUGCCACUUAUUACUGUCAGCAGGGUAGGAGUAUUCCUCCCACACCUUACAAGUCAUCAUCCAGACAAGGCUUCUGUUGUCUCAUUAAGAACACAUACCUGUAG